AAAUGUAUUCUUCUUAAAAAAGGUGCUCUUCUUCAAAAUUGAAGUUUUCUUCUUCUCCAGCAGUGACAGUUUCUUCUCCGAUUAUCCUCUCUACUCCAAUGACGGAACUUCUUUUUGUGUUGCUCACUUUUCUUCUUCUUCCGCUGCUCUUCUUCUUACCUCCGCCCUCGGUAAAUUUUUAUUUUUCGUCUUCCUCACUUUUCUUCUCUUCUCCACUCGUGCGUUCUUCUCCACUGCACUGCAUUCUUUUGUAUAGGCAAAUUGGUUAUACCUUUCGUUUCGUUUUAUUUGUUAAGAUUUUUGGGAUUUUGGAAAAAAAAAAUAAACGAUUCACGAUAUUUUUUGGGAAUUUUUCAGAUUCUGAUUGAAACAGAAAUAUUGAGAUAGAAUCGCGAAUCCCUUGAUUCAAGUGAUUCAUACCACGAUUCACGCCCUAAAACGAUUCACUUACCGAUUUGAAUCGGCAAGGUGAAUUUUUCAGAUUCUGAUUGAAUCGGAAAUAUUGAGAUAGAAUCGCGAAUCCCUUGAUUCAAGUGAUUCAUACCACGAUUCACGUCCUAAAACGAUUCACUUACCGAUUUGAAUCGGCAAGGUGAAUUUUUGACGCGAUUCGAAUCUUACGAUUCGAGCGAUUCUAACUACCAUGAUUAAAAGUGCCAAAACAACUCAAACACAAACAAGAACAAACUUAAGACUCAUGAUACCACAUGAUAUGAUUCCAAUAGCAAGGUAGAGAUGUUUCAUAGACAUUAUAUGGAAUCAACUUGAGUUGGAAUAUGAAUAGGAACUUUUCUAGAAUUGGAUCAAUGUUCUUUUAUUCAAGAUUUACCAAAACUUGAGCCACCAAACCAAAACUCAUGUAGAAACCCAUUUCUUGCCAAAUGAACCGAAUGAAAUGCAUAAGAAAGCAAAGGAACCGAUUAAAACUACCUAAGAAUCAAAAGAACCGAACAAAAGCAUGAAAGAAAGGAGUUGAACCGAUUAAAACAGUAAAGGAAAGAGAUAAACCGAACAAAACAAGAUAAGAACCAAAAGAACCGAACAAAAGUGCAAGAAAAGCCUAAGACAUGUUUCUAGAGUUUAUAUGGACAUGGAAAUGGAUGAAAGAGAUGGAAAAGAGAAGAGGACUUAUGUGGUUAGAGUUCUUGGAGAUGAACACGCCACUUGAAGAGUGUAAGGCUCCAAGAUGAGUGUAGAUGCCGCCACAUGAGGUUCCAAGAUGCACUCAAGAUGAGACUAGAAGAAGAGAAGACACAAGUCUCUCAAUCACUCACCAAUUUGGGAGAAUUUCUUUACUCAAAAUAUCAAAUCUGUAUUAGAAAGACUCAAGCCCUCCUUUUAUAGGAGAAGGACCGGUGAUGAGUGUACAAGAAGCUUACAAAGGAAGCUAACCAAAGUUACCUUGCAACUCUUCCACUUCUAGCGCCUAAAGUGGAGAAGGAAGGGAUACCUUUCUAGAUUUUUCUAAAGCUAAUAUCUAAAGAUGCUUUACACAAGAGGUAUCUUUAGGUUUCCCUCUUAGCACCUACCUAAACACUAUUCUAUAUUAUUUACAAAUUUAUACAAAAGAAACUAUAAAGAGAGAUAUUAAUUGAAGCCCAUUCUUGAAAGCUUGUAGUCUUCUUUUGGCUUUAGGCUUGGUCCUCUCUUUAUUUUAAUUCUUCUUUAAUUUUUGAGAAGACUAGAAGGAAGAACUUAAAAUGUUUGGGGGAAUGACCUCUUCCUCCAUUAAAACAAUCCUCUCUUAUUUGAUCUCUAUCACAAUGAUACUACCACUAGUACUACCACUGGUACUAUCAAUGGUACUACCAAUAAUAUUAUCACUAGUACUUCCAACGGUACUACCAUUGGUACUACCAAUAGUACUACCACUGGUACUACCGAGGUAAUAAUAGUAAUAAUAAUAGUAACAAUAAUAGUAACAAUAACAAUAACAAUUACGACGGUAAUAACGACGAUACUACCGAGGGUACUACCGAGGGUACUACCGAGGGUACAACCGAGGGUACUACAGAGCGUACUACCGAGGGAUACUAUCUUUUUUUUUUACGAAUCAAAGCGACAAGGGCUGAAUCUUAGUGGAUCGUGGCAACUACCAAUGGUACUACCCCUAGUACUAUCACUGGUACUUCCAUUGGUACUACCAAUAGUUCUACCACUUGUACUACCGAGGUAAUAAUAGUAAUAAUAAUAGUAAUAAUAUUAGUAAUAAUAAGAGUAACAAUAACAAUAACAAUAACAAUCACAAUAACAAUAACAAUAACAAUAACAAUAACAAUAAUAAUAACAAUAACAAUAACAAUAACAAUAACGACGAUAAUAAUGAUGGUAAUAACCAUGGUAAUACCGAGGGUACUAUCGAGUGUACUACCGAGGGUACUAUCGAGUGUACUACCGUGGGUACUACCGAGGGUACUACCGACGGUACUACCGAGGGUACUACCGACGGUACUACCGAGGGUACUACCGACGGUACUACCGAGGGUACUACCGAGGGUACUACCCACGGUAUUACCGAGGGAUACUAUUGUUCCCGCCGGUUGACCAGGGUCGUCUUUGUGUGUGGCUUGUCCUCGCGAGCUAGGGCACCUUCGUUCUGCUCCGUUUGUGAGUACCUGAAAAGAAGUGGACAAAGGGGCGCCCUCGCGACCGUUUGCACUCUGACGAUCAAGUCAACUAGCGAUAAACAUCAAAGUGACACACCUCCGUAUCGGAGCACCGUGAAUGAAUACUUUGAAGGUGGUCUAAUAACUGAAUACUGAAUGCUGCCCUAAUUGCUUGUGCGUACAGUGGGUGCCCGAGCAAAACAAAUAGGGCUUGUAUGUGUAAAACUUGUGAAAACUAGGUCCAAAACUCGGAUCCCUGUCUCAAACGUCUAAAGCCCCUUUUAAACGUCUCAAGCAUUUAAGGCGUUUUAAAGCGCAUUUAAAGCGUAUAAAAACGUUCAACGCGUUUUAAACGUUUAAAGCAUUUAAGGCAUUUAAAGUGCUUUAAAGCGUUCGAAACGUAAACUGAAUCAAUGUGUACCUUAGCGAACUUUCAGGAAAACAUUGAUGUUCCAAUGAUUACUGCCAUGUAUUCUUCUGACUUGAUCGUUACUCUUCAUGGAAGGCCUUACAGCGUCGCAACCCAACUUAGGGAUAAUCCAUUGUGUAAGUCCUCAUUUCUCGAAGUGCAUCUGGCAUAAAGGGGUGACUUCUUGGGUGCCAACUCAUGCGCCCCAACCUCUAGCCACUAGCCCUGGGAGCGUAUCUACCUUUCUCUCGUACCAUGCACGUGGUUCUCCCCUGGGCGUGGCCCUCUCAUGGGUCGUAUCUGUCCCAGGGUCUCCCGGCGAUGACGUGGGUACUUCACGAAUCAGGUUACCCCCUACUGGUACUAGAACCAUGGCUUUGAAGCCACUUUUCUCUUCUCUUUAUUACUGUUCUGAGGUACUAAGGCCUCUCGCGGUGUCGCCCCCUCCACGAUCUUUCCUACCCAUGGGUAUCGGGGGGUGAUACCGUCGAUGCCUUAACUUGGCGACGCCUCAUCUUGGCGACGCCCUAACAUGGUGACGCCUCAUCCUGGCGACGCCUACACCUGGCGACGCCUCAUCCUGGCGACGCCUCAUCGUGGCGACGCCUUAAGCGGUCAACCUGUUGACUUUCUUCCCUUGGGCCCUCUUGAGUGGUCCCACCAUACGUUGACUUUGACUUUGACUUUGACUUUGGUCAACGCCCGGGGACGAGACGGUACACAAGCCCCCCAGUCUUGAGCUGACACUUGUUUCAGCAAAAAGACUAAGGCCUCGCCCUACCAUCCACGUGGCAUUCCUGCUGACGUGACAUUCCCUUGAGCAGUUGACGUGACAUUCUCUGAGCGUCUGACGCGACAUUCUCUGCGCUGAAGAUGUGACGUUUUAAGUUGCGUGCUAAUCUCACGACACGUGGCAGGAUCCUACGGCCAGGGACGUGUGUCGCUAGCGCUUCUCAAGCUAACGCUAUAACUUUCGAAAACGCGCGCUCAAGGCACUGUUCCAUCACUUUUCGUAUUCUCUGCACUGUUCAUCUUCCCUUCGACUUCUGCGUUCUUCUUCCCUUCGAAAGUUCUUGCCUUUCUACACUCCAAACACAAAGGUACGGUUUUUCUACUCCAAUCGCCCUUACACUUUACUGUAUUGAUCUCAUAACUGCCUGGGUCUGUUUACAUUUCUGCAUUUCUUGUGUUCUUCUCCUUUCCUUCAUAUCUCUCCGUUCUUCCCUUUAUUCUGGAUUUCUCGCGUGGGUAGGGUUUUUCUAGGGUUUCUCUUCCCCUUUCUGCCUUAACCCCAUAUGCUAAACCUUUUUCCUUUCUUCCUUCUUCAAUUUUCUCAUCAAACCAUGGCGCGUACAAAAACAGCUUCCAACCCUCCACCCCCAAAAGUCAACUAUAGGGCCUUUUACCCUUGGGCUCCCGACGAGCUGCUCGACGAGUACUCAAGCCUGGUCUCCACGAAGGCCUGGAGGGAUCACGUCGGAGAAUCGAAUGUCUACGACCAUCGCGCCUUCGCAAAAAGGCAUGACGAGGACAUAACAGUGCUCCCUUGCACCCUAGGGGAGCCUGUAUGUGGGGACGAAUGGGCCAACAAUGGAGUCCCCUUCUUCUACUUUUACCAGGUGGUCUUCAAACGCAUAGGGAUGCGCCUGCCCUUCUCUAGGUUCGAAAGGGAACUACUGACCAAAAUUAACGUCGCCCCAGCCCAGCUACACCCCAACGGCUGGGCCUUUGUCAAAGCGUUUGACAUUCUGUGCGGGUUCUUCGGACAUGCCCCUCUGUCGACAUCUUCCUUCAUUUCUUUGAAGUGAAGAAGCAGGGGAAGAGCCUCUGGGUGAGCCUCAGCAGCAUAUCUAGAAGGGUCCUCCUGACAUUAUUUCAACAGUCCUUCAAGGGGUGGAAGGGCAAAUUCUUCAAAGUAUGCUGCUCUGACUUCGAUCCCACCGCCCUUGACGGCUUCCCUUUGUACUGGGUGAAGGAAGUGAAGCUCACGAAGCCCAAAAUCCCUUGACGAGCUGCCCUCGACCGAUCGAGAGGCUUGCCAAAUUCUGGCCAGCGUGGGGGCCUUCAACACCUCUACCCUGAUAAGCCUUGAGUACAACGCCGAGGCCCUCGCGAAAUACAUAAGUAUAAGAGCCUCCCUUAUAACCUUCUAUUCACUGCCCUUGCUUGUUCUUCCUUAGUGUAUGACUUAUCUGCUUUCUUUGUAUAGUACUUAACUUGUGCCUAACCCCUACUGCAUUUAUCUUCUUGGUGCAGGUUCAAAGAUGGACAAACAAUGAAGGUUGAGGCUUGCUCAAAUCUUGAAGUCUAAGGGCGGGGCUUCCUCACAAGGGGUUGGAGAUUUCGUACUUCCAACCUGAUGGAAGAGGGCCCAAGCUCACCACACUAUGAAAGCCAAAAGACUAAGACUAGCUUCACAAAGGAGCGUCUAGCCUCUCAAAUGAGCGUCUAGUCUUCCAAAUGGAGCGUCUAGCUUCACAAGGGAGCGUCUAGCCAUGGCUACAUAAGGAGCAUCUAUGAAGAGUCCUAGACCGUCUAGCUUCACACACACAUGAGCCAAGCUACGGUUUAGGAAAAGAAGGCUUUGUUGCAUAAAGGCCCAUUAGAGGUACUUAGUAGAUAGGAUAGUGUAGAAAGCACUUUGUAAAGGAAACAUUCUAGAAACUAGGUUAGUGUGGCCG
rnacentral:lncRNA from 1 species